rnacentral:rRNA from 1 species
CGCAGCGAAAGCGAGUCUGAAUAGGGCGCAUAGUUGCCGGCAUGAGACCCGAAACCUGGUGAUCUAGCCAUGGACAGGUUGAAGGUGGGGUAACACCCACUGGAGGACCGAACCCACGCCUGUUGAAAAAGUCGGGGAUGAUCUGUGGUUAGGGGUGAAAAGGCCAAAUCAAACCAGGAAAUAGCUGGUUCUCCGCGAAAUCUAUUGAGGUAGAUCGUCCGUCGAUCACCAUCGGAGGUAGAGCACCGGAAGGGCUAGGGGGGCCCAAAGCCCUACCAAACCCUACCGAACUCCGAAUGCCGAUGAGUGCAGGCGGGCAGACAGACAGUGGGUGCUAAGGUCCAUUGUCGAGAGGGGAAACAACCCCAGACCACCAGCUAAGGCCCCCAAAUGAUGGCUAAGUGGGAAAGCAUGUGAGACGGCCAAAACAACCAGGAGGUUGGCUUAGAAGCAGCCAUCCUUUAAAGAAAGCGUAAUAGCUCACUGGUCUAAACAAGCUGUCUUGCGGCGAAAAUGUACCGGGG